rnacentral:rRNA from 1 species
GUACACUCCUGCGGGAGGCAGCAGUGGGGAAUUUUACGCAAUGGGGGAAACCCUGACGUAGCGACACCGCGUGAGCGAAGAAGCCCUUUGGGGUGUAAAGCUCUGUCAGCUGGAACGAAAACAAUGACGGUACCAGCAGAGGAAGCAUCGGCUAACUACGUGCCAGCAGCCGCGGUAAGACGUAGGAUGCGAGCGUUGUCCGGAUUUAUUGGGCGUAAAGAGUUCGUAGGUGGUUUGUUAAGUUUGGUGUUAAAGAUCGGGGCUCAACCCUGGGACUGCACUGAAUACUGGCAGACUCGAGUGUGGUAGAGGCUAGUGGAAUUCCCAGUGUAGCGGUGAAAUGCGUAGAUAUUGGGAAGAACACCGGUGGCGUAGGCGACUAGCUGGGCCAUAACUGACGCUGAGGAACGAAAGCCAGGGGAGCGAAUGGGAUUAGAUACCCGAGUAGUCCCA